AAUCCAUAGGUUAAUGAGGCGAACCGGGGGAACUGAAACAUCUAAGUACCCCGAGGAAAAGAAAUCAACCGAGAUUCCCCCAGUAGCGGCGAGCGAACGGGGAGGAGCCCAGAGCCUGAAUCAGCAUGUGUGUUAGUGGAAGCGUCUGGAAAGGCGCGCGAUACAGGGUGACAGCCCCGUACACAAAAGCGCAUGUGCUGUGAGCUCGAUGAGUAGGGCGGGACACGUGGUAUCCUGUCUGAAUAUGGGGGGACCAUCCUCCAAGGCUAAAUACUCCUGACUGACCGAUAGUGAACCAGUACCGUGAGGGAAAGGCGAAAAGAACCCCGGCGAGGGGAGUGAAAAAGAACCUGAAACCGUGUACGUACAAGCAGUGGGAGCACCCUUUGGGGUGUGACUGCGUACCUU
rnacentral:rRNA from 1 species